AUUGAACGCUGGCGGCAGGCCUAACACAUGCAAGUCGAACGAGUGGCGUACGGGUGAGUAAUGUCUGGUAAACUGCCUGAUGGAGGGGGAUAACUACUGUAAACGGUAGCUAAUACCGCAUACCAUCAGAUUUGCCCAGAUGGGAUUAGCUUGUUUGUGGGGUAACGGCUCACCAAGGCGACGAUCCCUAGCUGGUCUGAGAGGAUGACCAGCAAAACUGGAACUGAGACACGGUCAAGACUCCUACGGGAGGAAGCAGUGGGGAAUAUUGCACAAUGGGCGCAAGCCUGAGGCAGCCAUGCCGCGUUUAUGAAGAUGGCCUUCGGGUUGUAAAGUACUUUCAGCGGGGAGGCGUUACCCGCAGAAGAAGCACCGGCGAACUCCGUGCCAGCAGCCGCGGUAAUUC
rnacentral:rRNA from 1 species